CUUAUCUGUCCACAAAUAUUCUUGUAGUCCUAAUUUCUAAAUCACAAACUCAAAUCUAUAAUAUUUAUAUAUAAAAUGAAAACUUUCUAAAAACAGCACUUUUUAAGAAAAUUAUUUUAAAAUACAAGAUAUAGAUGAAAAAAUCUGAAAGAAUACUCAACUAUCUACAAAUAAUCUUUUGAUCUUAAAUUCUAAACCACAAACUCAAAUCUACAAUAUUUCUCUAAAAAAUGAAAACUUUCCAAAAAUAGCAGUUUUUAAGAAAAUUAUUUAAAAAUACAAGAUUUUGAUGAAAAAAUCUGAAAAAACACUUAUCUGUCCACAAAUAUUCUUGUAGUACUAAUUUCUAAAUCACAAACCCAAAUCUAUAAUAUUUAUAUAUAAAAUUAAAACUUUCUAAAAAUAGCAGUUUUUAAGAAAAUUAUUUAAAAAUACAAGAUAUUGAUGAAAAAAUCUGAAAGAAUACUCAACUAUCCACAAAUAAUCUUUUGAUCUUAACUUCUAAACCACAAACUCAAAUCUACAAUAUUUCUCUAAAAAAUGAACACUUUCCAAAAAUAGCAGUUUUUAAGAAAAAUAUUUUAAAAUACAACAUAUUGAUGCAAAAUUCUGAAAGAACACUUAUCUCUCCACAAAUAUUCUUGUAGUCCUAAUUUCUAAAUCACAAACCCAAAUCUAUUAUAUUUCUAUAUAAGAUGAAAACUUUCUAAAAAUAGCAGUUGGUAAGAAAAUUAUUUAAAAAUACAAGAUAUUGAUGAAAAAAUCUGAAAGAAUACUCAACUAUCCACAAAUAAUCUUUUGAUCUUAAAUUUUAAACCACAAA